GUGCCAGCCGCCGCGGUAAUACGUAGGUGGCAAGCGUUGUCCGGAUUUAUUGGGCGUAAAGCGAGCGCAGGCGGUUUCUUAAGUCUGAUGUGAAAGCCUUCGGCUCAACCGAAGAAGUGCAUCGGAAACUGGGAAACUUGAGUGCAGAAGAGGACAGUGGAACUCCAUGUGUAGCGGUGAAAUGCGUAGAUAUAUGGAAGAACACCAGUGGCGAAGGCGGCUGUCUGGUCUGUAACUGACGCUGAGGCUCGAAAGCAUGGGUAGCAAACAGGAUUAGAUACCCUGGUAGUCCAUGCCGUAAACGAUGAGUGCUAGGUGUUGGAGGGUUUCCGCCCUUCAGUGCCGCAGCUAACGCAUUAAGCACUCCGCCUGGGGAGUACGACCGCAAGGUUGAAACUCAAAGGAAUUGACGGGGGCCCGCACAAGCGGUGGAGCAUGUGGUUUAAUUCGAAGCAACGCGAAGAACCUUACCAGGUCUUGACAUCCUUUGACCACUCUAGAGAUAGAGCUUUCCCUUCGGGGACAAAGUGACAGGUGGUGCAUGGUUGUCGUCAGCUCGUGUCGUGAGAUGUUGGGUUAAGUCCCGCAACGAGCGCAACCCUUAUUACUAGUUGCCAGCAUUUAGUUGGGCACUCUAGUGAGACUGCCGGUGACAAACCGGAGGAAGGUGGGGACGACGUCAAAUCAUCAUGCCCCUUAUGACCUGGGCUACACACGUGCUACAAUGGAUGGUACAACGAGUUGCGAGACCGCGAGGUUUAGCUAAUCUCUUAAAACCAUUCUCAGUUCGGAUUGUAGGCUGCAACUCGCCUACAUGAAGCCGGAAUCGCUAGUAAUCGCGGAUCAGCAUGCCGCGGUGAAUACGUUCCCGGGCCUUGUACACACCGCCCGUU
rnacentral:rRNA from 1 species